ACGUAUACAAUUCGUUAUGUUCUGAAAAGGCAAGAUGAUGAUUCAUGGAGGUUUUGUGAAGGAAAUAUUCAGACGCCGUGAUUGCCAGUCUAGUGGGAGAAGAAGGGUGCCUGCUUCCAUCGUCCAAGUUUACUUGUAAAUGCUAACGAACAAACUAGGAAUCGAUCUUAUGGAAUGUAGUGCUCUUAUUUUAUUUUGUUCCCAUUUCUAUGAUAUUUACCCAAUUUUUUUUUCACUAGAGUGAGUCAUGUGUAAGUUCACCACACGCUAGGCAGAUGAUGUGUGUUUCUGACAAGCCUCUCGUUUUCAUGGUUGCUUUGGAAUUCAGC
rnacentral:lncRNA from 1 species